AAGCAUGUGGUUCAAUGACUCUUGAGAAUUUAGAAGCCCUGUGAUAGAUGGCCUGGUUUGCAGAUUCUCCAAGCAGUUUCACUAGGGAUUGAUAGAGUUCCUGGUCUGAUAUAAUGAAGCACAACAGCAGACUGUAGCAGAAUAUCAACAACAAAAAAAGGGCGGCAAAUUUGUUGGAGCAAAGGAGACGCCUCCAUUCCUUAAGGGUGGGCUACCCAGAUGACCCUAUAAAGGCUAAAGAGCCAUCCUAGUAUUCAAGUAGGCCCUUUGCAUGUAACAAAGAACAUGAUUAAAAGGUACAGUUUGAAAGGGACUGCCUCUCAGCAUCUGUUGCCUUGAUAACUACACAUGAUGUCUCAAUGACUUAGAGCCUGCUUUCGGAAAGCACGAGUUCCUAAGAGAGGGAAUUGCUGCUGUUUCUUGAACCAGGCAGUCUGGUCUCCUAGUGAAGAGCUUGGGCCCUGCAGCAAGAAGACCACGUGCCUCCUCCCAGGCAAGUUGUUGACUCUGUCUCUGGCUCUGUUUCCUCAUCUGGGCCCUGUGGCUAGCCAGAGCUUCCUGAGGUGUGCCUUGCUGCCAAGGCCAAAGCACGAGCUGCAAACAGGCAAAAAAGUGGAGACUGCGAUGCCAUCUUGGGGGUGGGGGUAGGUAGCCCCUGUGCACUGUCACUGCAGGGGUGCUUGGAGCAGCACUUUUCCUUUGUCUCAUACCUUGUGACGCCUCAGCUUUGUAGCUAUAAAUCCUAAAUUGAAAUCUCCUGCUGUUCCAAGCAGACAUAGGGCAAAAGUUUAAACUUGGCGUGGUCUGCAUAUGAACUUGCCAUCUCUGCCCUCCUAUUUCCUGUACUUCCCUAUGCCCAGUGCCCACGAUGAAUCCGUUCCCCUAGCCAGACACCUGGGUCCUUCCAGGCUCCUUUGUGUCACCCACUCGCAUGGUUCAAUCAGCCGUCGGUCGGGUGUGUGUUCUACCUCUUCGCUACUAGCCCCUUUUUAGUGUAGCUGAUCGCUACUCACUUUCCAAUUCAGCUCAAAUGCAACCUCUUACAGGGAAGCUGUUCUGUGGCGGUCCCCUUGCAAGCUGACUUGGGGGCUCCCUUUCUUGAAUCUCCAAAACACCCUGUGCAUAUUCUAGAAAACACUUAGAGCAUUCUUUUCUAAACACUGAGUUCCUCCACUAGACUCUAAGCUUUGGCGGGGGGGGCAGAGAUUAGGUCUUAUUUGACUUUACAUCCCUAACUCUUGGCACAGUGCCUCCCAGGCAUUUGAUGUUUAUUGAAGGAAUCAAAGAAACAGGUCUUUGCCAGGUAACCGUGGCUCAUAACCAUGAUGUAGAACGUAUUUUCAUGGGAAAAUAAAAUAACUUAGGGUUACAAGGGUUACAAGCUUUAGAGUAUUAGCAGGCGGCAUUCUAAACGUUCCUUUUAAGAUUACCAUCUAAACUCUUUUAAAAGUGGAUUCCGCAUGAUGGUAGGUUGCCAGUCCCCUGCCCUGGUCCACAGCAUCCCAGUGGGGACUUUCACGGUCCUUGUCAUGUUGUUUUAUUUCCUUUCACUUUUUUGUUACGCAUUUCUGGGGUUUCUGGAACUAGGGGCAAGGGCUGUUGAUGAAAGGGUCGUAGCUAAAUUUACUUGAAAUGAUGAACAAAUUCAAGGAAGUCUGUUUGCGUGUAGUAAACACAUAAUAGUCGAAAUAGGUAUUUGAAGUUCAAAGCCAAGGCAAACCUCCCAGACCUUAAUAUUAAUUAAAAAAAAUCUUUGGAGUUCCCUUCCUGGCUCAGGAUCGAACCUGCAACCUCAUGGUGCCUAGUCAGAUUCGUUAACCACUGCGCCACGAUGGGAACUCCACUUCAUUUCUUUAAUACACUGUCAUUAACAUAAAUUAAGUAGAAACAAUAAAGGAAGAAAUUUUUCUGUGUUGUGUGUCUCUUGCAAAAUUUUAAGUACUAUCCUACUUUGUUUAAGGGAGAGGAGAGGGGAAAACAUUGAGUCUGGAACUGUAUUUAAAGAAAGAUGAACGAGGAGGAAUACUGGCUUUGGCUCCAAAAUCUUUGUAACACCACAGGUGAAGCCCUGUGGCCUUGGAGUGUGUAUUGGGCAUCCUUCUGUGCUGUGAGCUGGGGUGAGGCUUUGAAGUUUAAAGCCCUGAAUCACCCACUAUACCAGUAUAAACGUAUUUCCCACAAGGAAAAAAAAAAAAAAA
rnacentral:lncRNA from 1 species